GGAGACCUCAAAAUAACCAUUGUGUCAUCACGGACAAUGCUAAUUGUGCGUGAUUCUCAAAACACAGUGUACAGAUGUAGCAUGCUAGACUGAUCCUUUCAAAAGCUUGACAUGGUUUAUGCAAAUGUUUUUAUAAUUAUGGCAGAAUAUCCACAUUUCUCUGAAAACCUCAGAUUUGGUUAAUCUUAACGACCAUGCUUUUUAAAAUUUUGCAUAGCAUUUUUUGUAAAAAAGGCACUAGUGUCAGGAACACAAACGUGUAUUCCUGACACUAUAGUUUUAAAUCCACCGUUUAGUGACCAUCCCCCCCCUCUGAAAAGGCAGUGUGUACAGUAAGAAGCAUCCAAGGACUGAUUAUAUUCACCAGAACAACUACAUUAAGCUGUAGUUGUUUUGGUGAUUAUAGUGUCCCUUUAAGAUCCGGUCUUGGCUUUAUUCCCAAAGUAUUUCUCAAGUGGCAAAUCUAUUUUGGGUUAGUAAUAAAGUGAUCAGCUAUGCCCUCUAUAUACAGCUCAAAUUUAUUAAAACACUUGCAAGGGGAUUUUAAAAAUACAUUUAAAUAUGGUUACGUUAGCCCAUCAAAACUGGAAGUUUAAAUCCCUGCCUUGUGAUAUCUUCGGCAAAGACCUAUAUUUAUAUGAGCAUCAUGAAUCAUGUAAAAAAUAAUUUAUGAAUUUAGUUUUUUCAAAGUACACAAGUCAAAAAAUGACACUGUGUAAUAUUAUAGAGAAUACAAUUAUCUAAUUGCUUGUAUAAAAC